AGAUGGAGCCCAUAGUGGGAGUCCAGAGCCCCCUACAAUGGUCACCUGUUCUCGGGUGUGCCCACACCCAGAAAUGCCCCUGCCCCAAUACCCCUCUGCUUUUCCAAUCCCUCCUUUCCUAGGCAGGGGUUGGAGCAGCAAGUGGCCUGCCCAGGCUGUGUAUCCAGGGCCCCAGCCUGUCCCUGUCACCUAGACAUUUCAACUGAACAGGCCUAGAAUCAAGGAUAGGAUUUUCUCCAAAAUGCCAUUGGCAUCUCUGGGGACAGAGUCACAUUUUCCUACUGAUUACACAACACGGUAGCAUUUACAAUAGUCACUCCAUCCGUCAAUAUCAGUCGGAGGCAGCGAGAAAUGUCCCCCUCACCCCACCUGUGCCGACUGACUGCGGCUGAGAGAGAGGCUGGAUGGAAGGAAGAGAGGACACGGUCCACCCCUCACAGCCCAAGGGCGAAAGGGAGAUGUGCUCCCUUGGGGGCCCUGGGGGUGUCGGCCAUGACACCCUUGGAUCUCAGAGUUCCACAGUCAAGGAUUCUGAUCUGGGCUUUGUACUUUCCGAGUACGUAACUAAGGGCAGCUCAGCUCUUUGGGAAUCUCAGUUUCUUUAUGUGCAAAAGGGGUACAUGACCUUUCUCUUCCAGGUUGUCUGUGAAGACUUACCGAGAUCACAUUCUGAGAACUGGGGGCUUGCAGCGCGGAGGACCUGGGCACAGGCACACCACUUGACCCCAGCCUGCAGUGGCUUCCUCCUCUCUUGGAAGGGCAGCCUCGAUUUCCAAAUGGAAUGGCCUAGAAUGUCCUCCGCUCCACGCCCCCAAAGAAGGUCUCCAUGGGGGUGAUGGUGAAGGGGGAUGGGCAAUUCAUUGUGCACCUACCGCACCAGGACUGUCCAG
rnacentral:lncRNA from 1 species